UCGUACUGCCGGAGCACCACCAGCUUCCCGUGAACACAUGUGUGCCGCGCUUACAUGUUUAUCGUGUAUUGUGUGUGUUUAUUGCGUGCUUAUCGUACGCGACAUUCGUCGACUGGGCAUUUUCCGCGUGUUGGGGCGUUCUCCUGCCUUGAUCCAGUGGCGGAUGAUGGUCGUUGUUCGUUGCCACUCAACACAGCCUCACGGGACGCACAGCUUUGUGUCCGCGCUCAAAAGUGCUUUCUUGCUUCGUUCAUCGAUUACUCACGUUGAUCGAGUGUACUUCCGAAGACAAUCCGCGUCCGAGUGUUUUGACAAGCGGCGACCGCGGUUCCACAGGAGCGGAAGCUUGAGCCUUUUGACGAGCGACUGUGCCAAACUUGGGUAAGUUGAAGAAGGUCGCUGAACUACGUAACUUUGUUACUUCAUUGCAUGAAAACUGUUUGCAGGAACCGUCGUGUUGGCACAGCGAGGAUGAUCAACAGAUACCCGAUAGGCAGCGAUGAGAGCUGUUCAUGGCACCGACACAGAGGACAGAUUGCAGUACAAGAUAGGAGCAUACUUCCUGCAAGCCCGGGCAAGCCAUAAUGAGUGGUUUCAAAUACAGCAACUGUACCACCACAACAGUGCAGCACAGGAGAGCCUAUCGUCAGUGCCGCAUCGAGAAAUUAAAUAAAAAAGCACUUACUCCUGGAAACUUCUCGUAUCAUCU